rnacentral:rRNA from 1 species
GUCGUAACAAGGUCUCCGUAGGUGAACCUGCGGAGGGAUCAUUACACAAAUAUGAAGGCGGGCUGGAACCUCUCGGGGUUACAGCCUUGCUGAAUUAUUCACCCUUGUCUUUUGCGUACUUCUUGUUUCCUUGGUGGGUUCGCCCACCACUAGGACAAACAUAAACCUUUUGUAAUUGCAAUCAGCGUCAGUAACAAAUUAAUAAUUACAACUUUCAACAACGGAUCUCUUGGUUCUGGCAUCGAAGAAGAACGCAGCGAAAUGCGAUAAGUAGUGUGAAUUGCAGAAUUCAGUGAAUCAUCGAAUCUUUGAACGCACAUUGCGCCCUUUGGUAUUCCAAAGGGCAUGCCUGUUCGAGCGUCAUUUGUACCCUCAAGCUUUGCUUGGUGUUGGGCGUCUUGUCUCUAGCUUUGCUGGAGACUCGCCUUAAAGUAAUUGGCAGCCGGCCUACUGGUUUCGGAGCGCAGCACAAGUCGCACUCUCUAUCAGCAAAGGUCUAGCAUCCAUUAAGCCUUUUUUUCAACUUUUGACCUCGGAUCAGGUAGGGAUACCCGCUGAACUUAAGCAUAU